UUUUGGGUUAGAAUAUGUUAUAAUACAAUGAAUUUGAUUGAUUACAAGUGCUAGAGAUACAUGAAGAAUAUUAAGAAGUGAGAAGAAAGACUUGUUGAUAUUUGGUCCCAAAUGGGAUAAGAACCCAAAACCAUUGCUUUGAUGCAGUGAAUGGCUUGUAUAAAGUUAUUUUUGGUUAGAAUAUGUUAUAAUACAAUGAAUUUGAUUGGUUACAAGUGCUAGAGAUACAUGAAGAAUGUUUAGAAGUGAGAAGAAAGACUUUUUGAUAUUUGGUCCCAAAUGAGAUAAGAGCCCAAAACCAUUGCUUUGUGGCAGUGAAUGGCUUGUAUAAAGUUAUUUUGGGUUAGAAUAUGUUAUAAUACAAUGAAUUUGAUUGAUUACAAGUGCUAGAGAUGCAUGAAGAA
rnacentral:lncRNA from 1 species